rnacentral:rRNA from 1 species
UACGUAGGGUGCAAGCGUUAAUCGGAAUUACUGGGCGUAAAGCGUGCGCAGGCGGUUAUGUAAGACAGAUGUGAAAUGCCCGGGCUUAACCUGGGAACUGCAUUUGUGACUGCAUGGCUAGAGUUUGGCAGAGGGGGGUAGAAUUCCACGUGUAGCAGUGAAAUGCGUAGAUAUGUGGAGGAACACCGAUGGCGAAGGCAGCCCCCUGGGCCAAUACUGACGCUCAUGCACGAAAGCGUGGGGAGCAAACAGG